AGCUCCAAUAGCGUAUAUUAAAGUUGUUGCAGUUAAAAAGCUCGUAGUUGGAUUUCUGGUGAAGCUGGGGUGGUCCACCGCAAGGUGAGCACUGCUCUGGUUCGCCAUCCUCUCGGAGGCGGCUAGUGCCAUUAACUUGGUGCUUGUCGUGGCCGGGACCUUUACUUUGAAAAAAUUAGAGUGUUCAAAGCAGGCUUACGCUUGAAUACAUUAGCAUGGAAUAAUGGAAUAGGACUUUGGUUCUAUUUUGUUGGUUUCUAGGACCGAAGUAAUGAUUAAUAGGGACAGUUGGGGGCAUUAGUAUUUAAUUGUCAGAGGUGAAAUUCUUGGAUUUAUGAAAGACUAACUACUGCGAAAGCAUUUGCCAAGGAUGUUUUCA
rnacentral:rRNA from 1 species